rnacentral:rRNA from 1 species
AUUAGAGUUUGAUCCUGGCUCAGGAUGAACGCUAGCGGGAGGCCUAACACAUGCAAGCCGAGCGGUAGAUUGUCUUCGGACAGUUGAGAGCGGCGUACGGGUGCGUAACACGUGUGCAACCUACCUUUAUCAGGAGAAUAGCCUUUCGAAAGGAAGAUUAAUACUCCAUAAUAUAUUUGAUGGCAUCAUUAGAUAUUGAAAACUCCGGUGGAUAGAGAUGGGCACGCGCAAGAUUAGAUAGUUGGUGAGGUAACGGCUCACCAAGUCAAUGAUCUUUAGGGGUCCUGAGAGGGAGAUCCCCCACACUGGUACUGAGACACGGACCAGACUCCUACGGGAGGCAGCAGUGAGGAAUAUUGGACAAUGGGUGAGAGCCUGAUCCAGCCAUCCCGCGUGAAGGAUGACGGUCCUACGGAUUGUAAACUUCUUUUGUACAGGAAUAAACCUAGAUACGUGUAUCUAGCUGAAGGUACUGUACGAAUAAGCACCGGCUAACUCCGUGCCAGCAGCCGCGGUAAUAAU